GACGAACUGUCCAAACGUUGUUCGGAAUCACUGGGCUUAAAGGGCGCGUAGGCGGUCCGACAAGUCAGGGGUGAAAUCCCACAGCUUAACUGUGGAAGUGCCUUUGAUACUGUCGGUCUGGAGGGAGAUAGGGGUGUGCGGAACUUCCAGUGGAGCGGUGAAAUGCGCAGAUAUCAGGAGGAACACCCGUGGCGAAAGCGGCUCUCUGGGACGGUACUGACGCUGAGACGCGAAAGCGUGGGGAGCAAACAGG
rnacentral:rRNA from 1 species